AUUGAACGCUGGCGGCAGGCCUAACACAUGCAAGUCGAGCGAGCGGCGGACGGGUGAGUAAUGUCUGGGAAACUGCCUGAUGGAUGGGGAUAACUACUGGAAACGGUAUCUAAUACCGCAUACCAUCAGAUGUGCCCAGAUGGUAUUAGCUAGUAGGUGGGGUAACGGCGCACCUAGGCGACGAUCCCUAGCUGGUCUGAGAGGAUGACCAGCCAAAUUGGAACUGAGACACGGUCCAGACUCCUGAGCGAGGCAGCAGUGGGGAAUAUUGCAGAAUGGGCGCAAGCCUGAUACAGCCAUGCCGCGUGUGUGAAGAAGGCCUUCGGGUUGUAAAGCACUUUCAGCGGGGAGGCGUUACCCGCAGAAGAAGCACCGGCUAACUCCGUGCCAGCAGCCACGGUAAUUC
rnacentral:rRNA from 1 species